rnacentral:rRNA from 1 species
UACGUAGGUGGCAAGCGUUAUACGGAAUUAUUGGGCGUAAAGAGCGCGCAGGUGGUUGAUUAAGUCUGAUGUGAAAGCCCACGGCUUAACCGUGGAGGGUCAUUGGAAACUGGUCGACUUGAGUGCAGAAGAGGGAAGUGGAAUUCCAUGUGUAGCGGUGAAAUGCGUAGAUAUUAGGAGGAACACCAGUUGCGAAGGCGGCUCUCUGGACUGUAACUGACACUGAGGCACGAAAGCGUGGGGAGCAAACAGGAUUAGAUACCCCGGUA